rnacentral:rRNA from 1 species
UACGUAGGGGGCGAGCGUUGUCCGGAUUUAUUGGGCGUAAAGAGCUCGUAGGUGGCUCGGUAAGUCGGGUGUGAAAUUUCGAGGCUCAACCUCGAAACGCCACCUGAUACUGCUGUGGCUAGAGUCCGGUAGGGGAGCGUGGAAUUCCUGGUGUAGCGGUGAAAUGCGCAGAUAUCAGGAGGAACACCAGCGGCGAAGGCGGCGCUCUGGGCCGGUACUGACACUGAGGAGCGAAAGCGUGGGGAUCAAACAGG